rnacentral:rRNA from 1 species
CGCGUAGGCGGUUUGUACAGUCAGAAGUGAAAUUCCUGGGCUCAACCUGGGGGACUGCUUUUGAUACGUGCAGACUUGAGUGAGGAAGAGGGUUGUGGAAUUUCCAGUGUAGAGGUGAAAUUCGUAGAUAUUGGAAAGAACACCGGUGGCGAAGGCGGCAACCUGGUCCUUUACUGACGCUGAGGCGCGAAAGCGUGGGGAGCAAACAGGAUUAGAUACCCUGGUACGUCCACGCUGUAAACGAUGUGUGCUGGAUGUUGGGGAACUUAGUUUCUCAGUGUCGUAGCUAACGCGAUAAGCACACCGCCUGGGGAGUACGGCCGCAAGGUUGA